GCUUACAGCCUCACCAGUGUGAAUGCGCCCGAUCUCGUCUGAUCUCAGAAACUAAACACGCUUGGGCUCGGCCAGUACUUAGAUGGGAGUCCAUCUAGGAACCCUGAGUGCUGUAAGCU
ensembl:rRNA 5S_rRNA 5S ribosomal RNA